UUCCAGUGAUAGAAUUUAAAAUUUUUUUAAUAGAUAAUCGAUCACAAUAAAAUAUAAAUAUAUAAAUUACCCCUGGUGUGGGAACUUCACACACAUCUAAAGUGCAAUGUUAUGGAAGAACCAUUUCUUUCUUUUCACAUCCAAAAUCCAAC